ensembl:lncRNA
GGACAUAGCUCCACUAUACUCCUGAACAGGUGCGCGCUGUGCAGCGCGAAACACUGGUAAGCUUUAAAUAUUGUAUUAAUAUUGUUUCUUCUUUUCAGACCAGUGUUCUGUGGCUGCAGGGCAGAGUCUGCUGACGGUGUCUCUGCUUAUCGGCGGCUUCAUGCGUCUGUAGCGUCGGACAGCCGAGAUUGUUGUGGCUGUGUUCUCUGGCUCAGUAGUCAGGUUUCUCCCCUCCAUAGCUGCGUAGGGCCUGUGUGACUUCCAGUUUUAAUAACUGCGUUUAUAUUAACAUUAGUGUGUUGUGUGCUGAACAUAGUUUUUGUAUAAGAAUGAAAUUGUAUUUGUUUUUCUAUACACGCUGCUGUCUUCAUUUGUGCAUGUACCUGUGUUUAGUAGGGGAAGCCCUCUGUUGAGAGGCAGGAUUGUUAAUGUUCUUAAGGUGGAGAUCAAAUUGCGCUGUAUGUCCCCCCUAAACUAAAAUGCAUUUGACACCCCUGUCUGAAGUUACCCUACACCAUCAUUUUAAACCUACAUCUGUUAUUAUCUAGCAAACUGACAUGCUCUUACUGUGUACUGCAACCUGGAUGUUAAUUUCUCUGAUGAUGGCUCCCUUAUCAUCUUCAUAAUGUUCCAUCUGAUGGGUUUGUUCUCCUGCUGAGAUGAACAUUGAUCUGGUUUUUGGUUCUUUUUGCAACAAUUGCAUCUUCUUUUUGACAGUUCUGGACUGCUGAUGCGCUCCAUGUACACAGGUAAUGCAAAAAUCUUUGAAGCUUGGUUUGGGCUAAUGCUGAUGAGAUGUUGUUAAAGUCUGUAACUAGAACAGCUGUGUCUCAACUCAACAUCAAUGUUUUUUCAAUAAAGCACAGAUUUCAUUGUUUCCUUUAAUGAAUACUCACCAGGUGUUGAGCUGAAUCUCAGGAUGUGGGACUAAAUACUACACUUCCCAGAACGCACCGGUAGCAGCAGAGAGGUGCUUGACACCUGAUCAGUGAUCACUGAUUUAGAGCACCUGGGAAGGACUGGGGGGAACUCAGUCAUUCAGACCAACACUCUUCAGAGGAAAAAGGAACAAGGAAAGAACAAAGGAGAUUCUAGUCCACUCGUGGAUUCAGUCCAAAGAUGCCAAUGGUUUACAACCUACUGCAAUAACACGACCAACCAACUACAAGGAAAAUAAAAGUUUGAGUUGGAAACUUGAAUUGAGUUGUCCUUACGUCCUUUGAAGGGAAAGAGGUGGACUUGACACCAGGUUUCAUAGAUGGCAACUAAGGUUAACUUUUUUUUUUUUUUU